AGAAUGAACGCUGGCGGCGUGCUUAACACAUGCAAGUCGAGCGAGGCCAGGGGGGCAACUCCCUGAGUCGAGCGGCGGACGGGUGAGUAACACGUGGGUAACCUACCCGGAAGUGGGGAAUACCUCGGGGGAAACUCGAGCUAAUACCGCAUAACAUCUCGAGGACGAAAGUUCUUGUGAUCAAAGCGGGGCCGCAAGGCCUCGUGCUACCGGAUGGGCCCGCGCCCGAUUAGCUAGUUGGCGAGGUAAUGGCUCACCAAGGCGACGAUC
rnacentral:rRNA from 1 species